rnacentral:rRNA from 1 species
CUUACGGGUGACAGCAGUGAGGAAUAUUGGUCAAUGGGCUUACGCCUGAACCAGCCAAGUCGCGUGAGGGAAGACUGCCCUAUGGGUUGUAAACCUCUUUUGUCAGGGAGCAAUUGGCGCUACGUGUAGCGUUAUCGAGAGUACCUGAAGAAAAAGCAUCGGCUAACUCCGUGCCAGCAGCCGCGGUAAUACGGAGGAUGCGAGCGUUAUCCGGAUUUAUUGGGUUUAAAGGGUGCGUAGGCGGAAUGCCAAGUCAGCGGUAAAAUCGCGGGGCUCAACCUCGCUCCGCCGUUGAAACUGUAGUUCUUGAGUGAUGGAGAGGCAGGCGGAAUUCCGUGUGUAGCGGUGAAAUGCGUAGAUAUACGGAGGAACACCAGUGGCGAAGGCGGCCUGCUGGACAUUAACUGACGCUGAGGCGCGAAAGCGUGGGGAGCAAACAGGAUUAGAUACCCCAGUAGUC